rnacentral:misc_RNA from 1 species
UGAGCACUGAGCCGGUCCUGG